UAGGGAAUCUUCCGCAAUGGGCGAAAGCCUGACGGAGCAACGCCGCGUGAGUGAUGAAGGUCUUCGGAUCGUAAAACUCUGUUAUUAGGGAAGAACAAAUGUGUAAGUAACUAUGCACGUCUUGACGGUACCUAAUCAGAAAGCCACGGCUAACUACGUGCCAUCAGCCGCGGUAAUACGUAGGUGGCAAGCGUUCUCCGGAAUUAUUGGGCGUAAAGCGCGCGGAGGCGGUUUUUUAAGUCUGAUGUGAAAGCCCACGGCUCAACCGUGGAGGGUGAUGGGAAACUGGAAAACGUGAGUGCAGAAGAGGAAAGUGGAAUUCCAUGUGUAGCGGUGAAAUGCGCAGAGAUAUGGAGGAACACCAGUGGCGAAGGCGACUUUCUGGUCUGUAACUGACGCUGAUGUGCGAAAGCGUGGGGAUCAAACAGG
rnacentral:rRNA from 1 species